GACGAACGCUGGCGGCGUGCUUAACACAUGCAAGUCGAACGGAAAGGCCCUGCUUUUGUGUGGUGCUCGAGUGGCGAACGGGUGAGUAACACGUGAGUAACCUGCCCUUGACUUUGGGAUAACGUCAGGAAACUGGGGCUAAUACCGGAUAGGAGCUCCUGCUGCAUGGUGGGGGUUGGAAAGUUUCGGCGGUUGGGGAUGGACUCGCGGCUUAUCAGCUUGUUGGUGGGGUAGUGGCUUACCAAGGCUUUGACGGGUAGCCGGCCUGAGAGGGUGACCGGCCACAUUGGGACUGAGAUACGGCGCAGACUCCUACGGGAGGCAGCAGUGGGGAAUAUUGCACAAUGGGCGGAAGCGUGAUGCAGCAACGCCGCGUGCGGGAUGACGGCCUUCGGGUUGUAAACCGCUUUCGCCUGUGACGAAGCGUGAGUGACGGUAAUGGGUAAAGAAGCACCGGCUAACUACGUG
rnacentral:rRNA from 1 species